UACGAAGGGGGCUAGCGUUGUUCGGAUUUACUGGGCGUAAAGCGCACGUAGGCGGAUCGAUCAGUCAGGGGUGAAAUCCCAGAGCUCAACUCUGGAACUGCCUUUGAUACUGUCGAUCUGGAGUAUGGAAGAGGUGAGUGGAAUUCCGAGUGUAGAGGUGAAAUUCGUAGAUAUUCGGAGGAACACCAGUGGCGAAGGCGGCUCACUGGUCCAUUACUGACGCUGAGAUGCGAAAGCGUGGGGAGCAAACAGG
rnacentral:rRNA from 1 species